GAGGGUAACGGUGGUGGUUUCAGAUGCGAGCGGACCCAUUCCAAGUCCAAACCCACUGCCUUCUCUCUGCCACACGAUCUUUGCGGCCUCAACUCCUUCAAAUAUGCAGUGGAAGAAUCUGAUUUCCUCAAGAUUGCCAAGCUAGAGCAUGGAAAGUGCAAAGCAGCUGCACAAUCAUGCAAACCUGAGGCUACUAGAGGUGUAAGAACAGAAGAUGAAAAGGGUGGUGGCUGCUGCGAAUUGUCGUUAUCGCUUUCAUUAC
rnacentral:misc_RNA from 1 species